GUCUACAGCCAUACCACCCUGAACACCCCCUAUCUCAUCUGAUCUCGGAAGCUAAGCAGGGUUGGGCCUGGUUGGUACUUGGAUAGGAGAGUUGGCUUAUUAAAAA
rnacentral:rRNA from 1 species